rnacentral:rRNA from 1 species
UGGGGAAUUUUGCACAAUGGGGGAAACCCUGAUGCAGCGACGCCGCGUGAUUUAGAAGGCCUUCGGGUUGUAAAAAUCUUUUGUAUGGGAAGAAAAUGACAGUACCAUACGAAUAAGGACCGGCUAAUGACGUGCCAGCAGCCGCGGUAAUACGUAAGGUCCGAGCGUUGUCCGGAAUCAUUGGGCGUAAAGGGUACGUAGGCGGAUAAGCAAGUUAGAAGUGAAAUCCUAUAGCUCAACUAUAGUAAGCUUUUAAAACUGCUCAUCUUGAGGUAUGGAAGGGAAAGUGGAAUUCCUAGUGUAGCGGUGAAAUGCGCAGAUAUUAGGAGGAAUACCGGUGGCGAAGGCGACUUUCUGGCCAUAUACUGACGCUGAGGUACGAAAGCGUGGGUAGCAAACAGG